rnacentral:tRNA from 1 species
GGGGCAGUAGCUCAGGGGGAGAGCGCUCGGCUGAAGACCGAGGUGUCGUGGGUUCAAAGAGCGUUUGACGUUCGCUAGCGAGCGUCUGCUUGAAGCUCCCACCUGUCCCA